GGGGGUGUAGCUUAGUGGUUGAGCGUUUGCCUAGCAUGCACAAAGCCCUGGGUUCUAUCCCAGUACUACCA
rnacentral:tRNA from 1 species